GGGCCCUCCCAGCUCUGACAUUUUGUGGUCUAAGGUCCCCCUUGGCUCUGACAUUUUCCAUUCUAAGGACCUUUCUGGCUCUUUGGCUUCAUGAUUUUGCCUCCCAGUCUGGCCUAGCUUGGAAUUGCUUCCCCAAUCCUCAGAGCAGUCUGGGGGCAGGAUCAGGAAGAAGCCCACCACAUUCACAUUUGCCCUGACUUCAGAGACCACUGGAGAAGUUUCAGAAAGCCCUUUUCCUGCCUCAAUGAGCCCCCUGAACAUCAAACCUGAGCCUUCUGAUCCCAGGUUCUUAACUCACAGAAGUAAGGAACCUCCAGAGAGAAGGUCCCAAAGUAAUAUGGGCCUGUCCGGCUCUAAAUCUAUGGAUCCUAGAACUUCAACACUUUUGGCAAGAGAAGUGGCGGCCUAUGGAUAUGGAAUGUUGCAUAUGCUGUUGUUGGUUUUGCUGGAUUCUUCAUUACAAGAAGAAUGAGAUGGGCUACUUCCAAACCAUUCUUAUGACACCAACAUGGAGAUAAGAAGAAGCGAUAUAAGGACACUCUCAAGCUCCUCUUGUGAGACAUGGGAGACACUGGCACAGGACCACCCAGCAUGG